GCUUACAGCCAUACCAACCUGACUAUGCCCGGUCUCAUCUGCUCUUGGAAGCUAAGCAGGUUUGGGCCUGGUUAGUACUUGGAUGGGAGACCGCCUGGGAAUACCAGUUGCUGAAAGCU
ensembl:rRNA 5S_rRNA 5S ribosomal RNA